rnacentral:rRNA from 1 species
GCUGGCGGCGUGCUAUACAUGCAAGUCGAGCGAACAGACGAGGAGCUUGCUCCUCUGACGUUAGCGGCGGACGGGUGAGUAACACGUGGAUAACCUACCUAUAAGACUGGGAUAACUUCGGGAAACCGGAGCUAAUACCGGAUAAUAUAUUGAACCGCAUGGUUCAAUAGUGAAAGACGGUUUUGCUGUCACUUAUAGAUGGAUCCGCGCCGCAUUAGCUAGUUGGUAAGGUAACGGCUUACCAAGGCAACGAUGCGUAGCCGACCUGAGAGGGUGAUCGGCCACACUGGAACUGAGACACGGUCCAGACUCCUACGGGAGGCAGCAGUAGGGAAUCUUCCGCAAUGGGCGAAAGCCUGACGGAGCAACGCCGCGUGAGUGAUGAAGGUCUUCGGAUCGUAAAACUCUGUUAUUAGGGAAGAACAAAUGUGUAAGUAACUAUGCACGUCUUGACGGUACCUAAUCAGAAAGCCACGGCUAACUACGUGCCAGCAGCCGCGGUAAUACGUAGGUGGCAAGCGUUAUCCGGAAUUAUUGGGCGUAAAGCGCGCGUAGGCGGUUUUUUAAGUCUGAUGUGAAAGCCCACGGCUCAACCGUGGAGGGUCAUUGGAAACUGGAAAACUUGAGUGCAGAAGAGGAAAGUGGAAUUCCAUGUGUAGCGGUGAAAUGCGCAGAGAUAUGGAGGAACACCAGUGGCGAAGGCGACUUUCUGGUCUGUAACUGACGCUGAUGUGCGAAAGCGUGGGGAUCAAACAGGAUUAGAUACCCUGGUAGUCCACGCCGUAAACGAUGAGUGCUAAGUGUUAGGGGGUUUCCGCCCCUUAGUGCUGCAGCUAACGCAUUAAGCACUCCGCCUGGGGAGUACGACCGCAAGGUUGAAACUCAAAGGAAUUGACGGGGACCCCGCACAAGCGGUGGAGCAUGUGGUUUAAUUCGAAGCAACGCGAAGAACCUUACCAAAUCUUGACAUCCUCUGACCCCUCUAGAGAUAGAGUUUUCCCCUUCGGGGGACAGAGUGACAGGUGGUGCAUGGUUGUCGUCAGCUCGUGUCGUGAGAUGUUGGGUUAAGUCCCGCAACGAGCGCAACCCUUAAGCUUAGUUGCCAUCAUUAAGUUGGGCACUCUAAGUUGACUGCCGGUGACAAACCGGAGGAAGGUGGGGAUGACGUCAAAUCAUCAUGCCCCUUAUGAUUUGGGCUACACACGUGCUACAAUGGACAAUACAA